AAGACACUAGUAAAAAAUAUUACACCACCUUGUCAAGAUGGAAUCGUGGGUUAAACCCCCGCGUGCCUUG
rnacentral:tRNA from 1 species